GAUGCGCGCUCCUGGGGGGCGGGCUCCGCGUCUCGCCCUGCGUUGGGACCGGGCUGGAGCGGCCCGCAGGCCUGCGUGCGCGCAGAGGAAGGGGCUGAAUUGCUACCUGUAGACAUGGGAAUGCCAUUGGUGCUGGAAGUGUAAAUUUCCCAAGGCAGGAGGUUCGCCUCCAGUCCUGUAAAAGGAACAGUUGGAUUCCUCACUAGUAUUCAACACGCAGGAUUCAGGACUAUCAUUUUAAUUGUGGAAGAUGUCAUCUGGCCUUACCGAAGAACAGAAAAGAAAAAUUGAGGAGAACAGACAGAAGGCCUUGGCUAGAAGAGCAGAGAGACUAGCAGCCCAGCAAGGAGGGCCUGGUGGGCUCACUAGCCAACAAUCCAACCAGCAGAAUCCAGGCUAUCGAAGAAACCUGGAGCAUCAGUGUAUGAAACAAGGAAACAAUCAUGUUGGGUGUCUGCUGGUGUUGGCUAAUGAACCUAACAGCCAUGUGGUGCAGAAGAGCUAUGUUCAUAAAGGAUAUAAUCACUUUAACACAUCCCAACAGAUGGCUGGUUCAUGUGGCGUGCAACAGGAGAAUAGUUCGGAGGGCUCACACCAAGAUUCAUGGAGUCAAAUGUGCAGCACUAAACAGUCCCUCCCGAUACUCCAGAAUUCUUUGAGUUCCCAUCAACAUUAUAAAGGUUCUGAGCAACCCAAGUACCAUCCAACAUUAAAAAAACCUGCAGAACCUUCUCAUCCUAGAUUAACUGCUAAGGAGCACCCUGAUGAUGAUAAACGUUUACAAAGUCUGAACAGAUCUGCCAGUGAACAUGUUGACAUGAAAUGCAUGCCAUCACCGAGCAGUGCUAUCUUGAGUGAUUUUGAAAUGUCAACAAAUGCAGGGAAACCAACCUGUGGGCCCUUCCCCAAAAAGGAUACCAUCUCACAGUUCUGUGGCACUAUGCGACCACCCGCUCCGUUGAAGGAGGGUAAGAUGCAAAAGGUGGCCAGUUCUAGUGGUGUAGGCUGUAACUUGGAAAUAUUUUGUCAUAGAAAAGUACCCAGUGUUAUCAAAGGAAGGUGCGUGAAGCACGGUGAAGACCGAUUCCAGGUUGAAGUAGGCUACAAUGCAGAACUCAUCGCUGUGUUUAAGAGCAUACCUAGCAAAAGAUAUGAUCCUGCUAUGAAGAUUUGGAAUUUUAGUUUAGAAGACUACAGAAAUCUCAUGGAAGCAGUGAAGCCACUUUCCUCAGUGACUUUGGUACCAUUUGAAGAGAUGGAUGCAGCUGGCCCCUCCACAUGUUCACAGUCUGUCAGCAGCGGGCCCAGCUUGAAAUCCUUCUUAAAGACAUGCAGCGGCUGGAAGAAACCCUCUGCCACCGUCAGGGGGAAGUGUGUUCUGAUCUCGCGCUCCCGGUUUGAGGUUGAGAUUGGGUAUGCUGCAGAAAUUAUUGAAGUGUUUAAACAGAUGAAUUCCAGGAAUUAUGACAUGAAGACCAGAAAAUGGAGUUUCCUACUGGAGGACUAUGCAAGGCUAAGUGAGAAGCUGCAUUUUCCUUGUGGGGUCUGUUCUCUUGGGACAGUGACCAUUCAGGGCCCCAUUGUACGAGUGGAAGCUGUACAACACCUUCCAUCGGUAGAGGUAGAACCGCUGCCCAAGCCAGUAAUACAAGCCUUUGCUCCUCAGUUUGACGAGCCCGCCUUGCAUGUCUCAGACGUUCCCGAAGCUGACCUUUCAGCGGUGGAUUCCAAAAUUGUGAUGAGCCUCAUGCCCUUUCAGAGAGAAGGCGUGAAUUUUGCCAUCUCCAGAGAAGGCCGUUUGCUUCUUGCAGAUGACAUGGGUUUGGGGAAGACUAUCCAGGCUAUCUGUAUUGCUGCAUAUUACCGAAAGGAGUGGCCGUUGCUGGUGGUAACACCAUCCUCAGUGAGAUUUACCUGGGCAGAGGCAUUUCAUAGGUGGCUUCCCUCCCUGAGCCCAGAGAGCACCAAUGUCAUACUGACAGGCAAAGACAACCUGUCAGCAAAACUGAUAAACAUAAUCAGUUUCGACCUCCUCAGCAAGAUGGAUAAGCAGCUCAAAGACACUUUCCAAGUUGUCAUUAUUGAUGAAUCUCAUUUCCUAAAAAACACAAAAACUGCACGAUGCCGAGCUGCAAUGCCUCUUCUUAAGGCUGCCAAAAGAGUGAUUUUGCUGUCGGGAACCCCUGCCAUGUCACGCCCUGCAGAGCUUUAUACGCAGAUUGCGGCUGUCAGACCAACCUUCUUCCCUCAGUUCCAUUCCUUCGGACUCCGCUACUGUGAUGCCAAGAAGAUGCCAUGGGGCUGGGACUACUCCAGAUCUUCCAACCUAGGAGAACUGAAGCUUUUGCUUGAAGAAUCUGUCAUGAUCCGCCGCCUGAAAUCAGACGUGCUCUCCCAGCUUCCAGCAAAGCAACGCAAAAUGGUAGUGGUGUUUCCUGAAGGCGUGAAUGCAAAGACCAAGGCUGAGCUGGCCGCCGCUGCGAAGGAGAUGGUCAAAGGAUACAGAAGUAAACAACAGGAGAAGGAAGCUCUACUCCUCUUCUAUAACAGAACCGCAGAAGCCAAAAUCCGUUCAGUCAUAGAAUACAUCCUGGAUUUAUUGGAAAGCGGGAGAAACAAAUUCCUGGUGUUCGCUCAUCACAGGAUAGUACUGAAUGCAGUCAGCAAAGAGCUGGAGAACAAAGUAAGUUCUUAAAUCAGCUUCCUGUUAAUUUUAUUAUUGAUCCAACUUCAAAGCUGCUGGAGAGUUCUGGCAGGUCACCUACUUUAUGAAAGUUAGUGACACACACAAUUCUCUUAAUAAGAUAUCUCUAAUGUGCCCCCUUGCCAUGAUUACUGAGUCUCCAGAAUGAGACUGCCCGGUGGGAUGUACAUUUUGUGUAUGUGAGAGCUAUUGCUGCAGAUGUUUCUUGGUGUUCACCACCACCUGGAGUGAUGUGUUUACAGUGUUUUGAGAAGUGCUGUUUUACUACCAUACAUUGCCAUUGCUGCUUUUCGUGCCUCUUUGGAGAAGGUGGUGAGAAGGCAGUGACAAACCAACCCCAGCUAUAUCUGCAUGCCUUUUGUUCCUUGGGUCUCUGUUGCUCUGAUUUUUGGGCCUGGCUAUUGUAUGGCGGCUCAAGUCUACUUAAUAACUGCAUAGUGAUCUUUCUCCUGUUUCUAGUGAUGAGUAGAGAUCAAAUUUCUAUGCCUGUUUCAUCUGAUCGAUCAGAUUUUGAAAGCUCAUGAGGUGGCUGUGAGACCUGGUCGUGGUAGAUGGGAGGUGGUUUUGCUAAUUUCUCACUGAGAAAUCUCUGAGGGUAGUACUGGGCAAUUGCUCAUCAUCCCUGACAUUUAUAAGGUACCCAUCGUAUCACUGCUCCUCUUCGGUGACGAGACCAUUGGAAAAUUGUUAGCUUUGGAGCUGCAGCAUCAAUAUGUGGGCAAUACUCGGCGUUGCACUGAACCUUUUCAUCUAUGUCUCCUUUUCGCUGACCUGGACUCUGCAGGCAGCCCAGUACCUAAGCAUGAUAGUGACCCAGAUGAAGAGUAGCUGAGGGGAUGGCGGCUGGUGAUGCUGGUUCCUUAUUGUGCGUUUAUGCCCAAAUCGAAUGGCAGCAUUAGAAAAUGCUGAAAUAAAAUUUUUUAUAUUUUCCCCCUUGCCAAUGCAUUUAAAAUGUAACAAAAUGUUAUGGAGUAGUUCAGUGGGUUUUUUGAUCUUCACAAACACUGGUGGUGGCAGGGGAAAUCCUCUAAAAUUUGGGAAAAUAAAGACCUGCCAAUGAUCUUUCUCCACUCCCUCCUUUCAGCAUAUUGGAUAUAUUCGCAUUGAUGGUGCCACAGCUUCAGCUGAGCGUCAGUCUCUGUGCCAGAAGUUCCAGUUCUCCGAGAAGUACUCUGUGGCUGUCUUAUCCCUUACUGCUGCCAACACGGGGCUGACCCUCUCUUCUGC